GUAAUUUCAUUACCUUCAGAUUACCAUCUCACAACGUCGUCAGUAUGUUCUCCUAACGUUAUAAGAUUACCAAGAACGUUCCAGAUACGUCCUAUAUUCGUAAUAUAUUGGUAAUUCCAUGACUUACUAGUAACGUAACUACAACGUUGUAUGCCCGUAAUAAUAUUACCAUCAAAUUACCAUAUCAGAACGUCGUCAGUACGUUCUCCUAACGUUACAAGAUUACCAAGGACGUUCCAGAUACGUCCUCUAUUCGUAAUAUAAUGGUCAUUCCAUGACUUACUGGCAACGUAACAGCAACGUCAUGUGCUCGUAAUUUCAUUACCAUCAUUUACACAUUCUUUAUAUGUUAUUAUUACCAGAAUUUGCAAUAUAAAACGUGUAAUUAAAUGUCAGACACAAGACUGAAAUGUCCCUUAAGAAAUUUUUUUUUCUUUUCACCAAAUCAGAGUAUGGAUGACUGCUUUUGAUGUGACAUACAGCGCGCGCCUCCACAAAUGGAGUGCGCGCGUGCCCACGGUAUGUUGAUAAGAGUGUAAAGUUAAUUUUUCUGAGAGAAGAAUUUAUUUUUCCGAGGUGACAACGAAUAAAUGGCUUUUAUAAAAAUGUAUAAAGUUAACUUUGGAAAGACGCAAAACCUUUUUUUAUUGUUAUGUUUACGUUAGUGCUGGUGGCCGUUAGAGUUGCCAUGGCAACCGGGAAAACAUUCAAGCUGCUGGAGAGGACAGCGUCAACGUUUCUCCGUACGUGUUUCUCGUCAGUUUUAUAGCAAUAAAGUUCAACAACUGCGUCAGAUUGGUUAAGUGACAUUACCCACAGUCUACUUUAAGUACUUUUGUUAAUAUUUUUACCUCUGUGAUUUCCUUGAUCGUCUGAAAUAUAUGUUAGCAAAUGGUACGUUAGCAUAGCAUAUGUUUUUAAUGAUACUGAGAGCAAAACGUCUUGAAUGCUUUUAUUUUAUGUUUUGCUGUAGGCUAUAUGUUUUUAUUUAUAGUUUGAGUGUAUUUUAUUAUUUUUAUUUGGAGUUUUGUUCAUGUUCUGUGUGUUUUUCAAAAUAAAUUAAUUUAAUUCAUUUUGAGUCUGCAUUCAUCGUUCACAGCUGUUGGAAUAGCCUUUACAUUAGUUUGGGCAAAUGAGGACAUAAAUUAGGUUAAACUACUGCAUGUCCACCCAUAGAAAAAUAAAUAAAUAUAAGAAUUACCAACUGAUGACCAACACACAACUAUUGAUACACAACGUUGCCACGACGUCGCAGUUACUAACUGGCAACGUCACAAAGUUACGUUGUGGCGACGUAUAGGCACCUUUCACUUUUCCGGUUGCCACGAUGAAAGUUUGGUCACCAAAUUACGUUGCAGUUACGUAACAGUCACGUAUUUUGGUUAGCUGGGUUUGUACUUCACUCACAUUAUCGAUGUAAAACAUCAUUCUUCACAUAUAACAGCACAGUCAGGAGGUGGUCACGGGUGCUAAACGGCAGAUUAUAUUACAGAAUUGAAUUGAGCAGUGUAACUUUUGGUUGAUUAUUUUAUUUUAAUAUUCAACAGCUGCGAUAUCAAGUAAGCAAUGCAAAAAUUAGUGUGCGCGCGCGUGAGGCGCCGGCGCGAGCACUGGAUUUGUUUUCCUUCUAUAAGACAGUAAACUGUAGGUCUACUGCGUAAUUAAUGGUCAUACAGGUAAAAGCAAGACAUAAUUCAUACAUUUACAAAAGACACAAAUAACGAAAACAAGCAGAAUGUCUGUUUCCUUUUCUAGAUCUUUGGAGUGCGCCACAAAUAACCACUUUCGCUUUGUUAAUCUGUAGACCUAAUUAUUUAAGUGAAAUAUUUCGCGUAGCCUAUAGGCUUAAAUAUUCCCUUUUAUUUUAUGUGUGUUAUAUAGGUAGGCCUAUAGUUUUCUCCAUUCACAGAAGCGCUGCGGAUCGUGAUGUGACGUUGAAAAUUGUACUCGCUGGUACAACAAGCUGCAUAUUCCUUGACAUUAAUUUUUACUUAAUGUAGGCCUAAUACUUGACGGUUGGUGACAUAUAUCAUUGGAAAAACUAAUGCCAGCAUUGCCAUUGUGACUUACCUAACCAAUGAUGACUUGACAGCUGAGCCUGAGCGCGUCAGCGCGGGCAUCUCACUGUAGAGCAUGAGCGCAGGCAUUUCACACACUUUGGAUGCGUCAGCAUCACGUUUGCACAGGCUGUACUAUUUGAAUUCGUGAUUGGUUGACUGCCAAAUCAAAAUAUUAAACAGAACGAUAAAAUAACGUUAUUAUCCGGUUAAUGGGCAUUUCAAAUUACCGUUUCUGUUCAGAACGAUUAAAUUUGAUUUCGUUUCCGUUUCUGGUUACGUUCCGGUAAAAAUUUCGUUCGUUUCCGGUUUUCGUUUUCGUUCCUUAAACCGGUUCAGAGCCCUGUUUCAAAGUAUUCCAAAGUAUUUAGAUUAAGUUACUAAACUUGAGUAAUGUAACGAAAUACGUUACAGAUUACUUUUUAAAGCAUGUAUUUUGUAAUCUGUAGUGAAAUACAUUCUAAAAGUAACCUUCCCAACCCUGAGGAUGAAUAGGGCAUGUGGUAAAGACAUGCCUUGCUGCACCACAGUACAAACAUGAGCCCCGGGUCAGCCGACUCUGCCGAACCUUGUCGUAGGUGAUAGAGUUGCUCACCCCCAGAUGAAUCACCUGCUGGUCUGCCGAAAACCUCCUUGAAAUGGGUGAUGAAGUUAUUCAGACACUGGGUAAUGGGUCCAGCUUGUGACCAGAUGGUUUCUGCCCAUUUGAGUUCUCGUCUGUUCAACUGAGAGAUGAUAAAUGCUACCUUAGAGUAAUCGUCAGGGUAUAGACGCAGCUGCAUCUCCAGGGCCAGUGAACAAUGCAGAAGGAAUCCAUUGCAGUCCUCCGCCGAGCCAGAGGGCACUGGGCAAGGGCGCUGGUUUGGCCAUGGGACUGGCGCACACCGGUGGUGAAGGAGUGGAUGCGGUGGUGACGGAAGUGAGAGCUGGCGUGGGUGCAGGUGGAUUGGUGUUAAGAACGCAACGAAGACCAUCCACAAGCUCUUGAAAUGGGUCUGUUGAACUCUUCUGUCCGGUCUUCUGUUAUGGACAGAGGGACAAGAGACACAGAUGCAAACAUAGAUGGGAGUUAUUGAACAAACAGCAAGGUGAACACAGUGAUGCAGGUAAGUGAACUGGAAAUGUAGACUUUGCAGAGAGGUAACUGAAUAAUGAUACUGUCCUUUGUCUUACAGAAACGUAGAUCUUUGAUGGAUGGUUGAUUCUCAAUGGAGUGAACACACAUUGGAGGUAGAUAGACUCACACACAGAUAACGAAGCACGGAGACCAGGUGCUGAUGGGGAACAGGCGCAUGUGAUUAGAACUCUGGUGAGGGAGUGUGCUGUGAUUGGCUGAUGGUGGAGCUUGGCGAGUCUGUGACAGUCAUAGGCAGGUGACGUCAUGACCAGGAACCUAUAAAGCAUACUUGGGGAAUAAGAAAGCUUUUUACCAUGUUAAUCAUAAUCAAAGGGAUGUUCCAGGUGUCCAGGCAAGUUUAUCUCCAUUCACAACAUUUGUGUCACAAUGUUGAUCUCAACAGAAAAUAACUUUUGACUCAUCUCUCAGUUGUGUUUGUUGUUUAUUUUUUAAUUUAUAUAGAUCAGCAGCCGGCAACUUUAUGGGACACGAAGUGAUAAUCACAGAAGACUCACAGUAUCACAGAAACCUCUGGUCGUAUGAAUGGAUCGUCUGAUCUGCAGAUUAAAAUCUCUUUAAUAGUAUUUAUAGCACCUAACUUAAUAAAACAGGCUGUGGCUAUGAGGAAUUAUUACCUCAAAAUGUACCCAUAUGCAAGUUUGAGUGACUUUAUUUAAAUUAAAUACAUUAGCUAUUGUCACAUGUCAGUGAUUAUCCUGAUCUCUGAUAUAUUUCUGACCUCCAAUAUAGAUGGUCACUCCACUGUCUGCAGGGUUCCCGCGGGGUCUUAAAAAGUCUAAAAUUCUGAACUUUAAAUUUAAGGCCUUAAAAAGUCUUAAAAACGGCCAAAUUUUCAUCCGAGGUCUUAAAUUUCAUUUAGUCAGGUCUAAAAAUUUUUCAACCCAUUUCCAGAAACGCUACCUGCUGAAAGUUAUUACAAAGUAGCAACAAAGUAGCAAAAAAGUAGCGAGUCGUAGUUCUUUCUGGGGUAUAUUGGUGUUGGUAUACGCGUUGAUAAAACUACAAAUCCCAUGAUAAAUGCAAUAACUUACCUGCCCGCGAGAUACGUCUGCGUCUCCUCAGAGUUUGUUAAAGUUCGGCUACGUGUGGAAAAUGGGAAAGUGUACUUUCAACGAGACAUGGCUAGAUCACAGUGUGUAGUGUAGGCCUAUAGGCGACCGUUAUUUUAUGGUUUCCAUGGUGACGCGUCAUUGCUUGUUACGUGACACACCGCAGCAGCAACAGCGCUGAAUGAAUGAUGAUCUGCUUUUAUGUCAUUUUUCCUUUUUUAUUCAGAAUAUUCACAAAUGUGUUAGCUAUGGCAUGAAAUAUCUGAUAUUCCGAUUGUCAAAUACAUGCAAGUGGAAGUGUAUUGUUGUUUAAACACCUUUAUAACGAUCGCGUUAGUUGAGCUGUAUGCACGAUAUAAUUUUAUGACACAAAAUUUUGAAAUUUAGGCUUAAAUCAAACACAUUUUAAUUCAGAUUCUGUAUAUAUAUAUAUAUAUAUAUAUAUAUAUAUAUAUAUAUAAACGGAAAACAAAAACAACGAAAAAACAGCUGGCUGACCCCUAGAGGGGUGGGGAAAAGGGGUGGGCGGCUGCCCAUUUGGCACGUUGUUGUGUGUUUAAGGUUACUAAUGUGAUUGCUUUAUCUGUAAAUUAAAUUAAUGCUUUUUCAAUGACUGAAUUCAUUGAAAUAAAAUGAUUUUUUCAGAA